CGAACGAGUUCAACGAAUAAUUCGUGAACAGAACAGAACAGAACAGAACAGAAACAAAUCGAUCAAAAUGUUCAAGAACCAUUUGGAAAUGAUUGGGCGCAAUGAGAGCCCCAGCAAGAAGGCCAAGUUCUGGCAGUCUUACAUUAGAUCCCUGAAGGGCUCUGAGGAUAUCCGUGCCCACGAGACGCCACGGGCAUCCCGUCCCUACAGCGCAUACCUGGACAAUCCCACCUACAGGAGCAUCUAUGAUGAGCCUGCCACGGCCAACGAGCGCGUCCAGUCCUCUGGCUACAGAUAUCUGCCCGUGAGCCGCGACACCUAUGGCUACUCGCCACGCGCCAUCUACGAUCAUCAUUACAGCCGCACAAUUCCAGCCAACUACGAUGCAGAGAAGGCCUGGAAUGAUCAUCUGAAGCGCAUGCAGGAAAUCGAGCGCAGAUACCCAUCUCGCUACGGUCUCUACUUGAGGGACAAGCCACUCACACCCAACUCUCUGGUGCCUUUGGAGUAUGAGCCAGAGGACAAGCUGCUGGCGGAGCUCAACAAGGCUCGUCGCUCGGCCUCGCCGUUCCGUCCCACGCGCAGCACACGCGCCGGCAGCGAGCCCUAUGUGCCCGAGCCAGUGUACUGGAACCGCGAGGGCAGCGUGCCCCGUCGCGGACCCUCGGUGUUCGACCGUGCCACCAGCUUGGCCCCGUUCACGCGUCCCAGCUUCAGGGCCAGCUCGCUGGAGCCCUUGGAUGAACUCUUUGAAAGUAAGUUGCCCGCGAUCGCCGAGGCCGGUGCGGUGGCAGCCGAGGCGGCUGCUGCUACACGGCAUUUAGGCAUUUUUGAGCGCGCCGGCUCGCCAAGUCCCACUCCUGUCAAAGCCGGUCGCUGGGGACCCCGUUCCACCGAAGUCGCCUACGAUGCUGAGGGACUUCCAAUCUUCCAUCCACGCAACCGCUUCAGGGAUUUGCUGAGCCCCAGCCCCAACUUGCCAAUCUCCUCGAUUGUGCGCGAUCCCUUCUGGUGGGAUGUGGAUGAUCUGGUGCCGUUCCGUGCUACCUCGGUGCCACGUGGCUCGAGCCCCGUGGCCCGCGAUUCGUACUUGUCGCCGGUGAAGAAUCGCUACUUGUGGUCCAAGCACCCCGCUAGACCCUUGACACCUGAGGCAGAGGAUAUAUACUAAAUUCGAACAAACAAAUAGAUUCAAUAUCACAAAAAUCGUUAGCUAUAAUAACAAAAGCGACGCUAUAUCAAUCAUAUAGCAAUUCUGUAAUUUUUUUGUACUUAAUUUUACAUAAAUUACAUGUAACGAACUGUAAGAAAAAGAAACAAAUUGCACACCGCUCAAUUUUGUAAACGAACGAAACAACGAACUAAAACCACUGCAACUUGAACAACAACAACAAAAACGAAUGCAUCACAAGGGGCCCCCAAAAACAACGACUUUAGACUUUCCGAAGAGCUGGAAAUCCUAGUCCAAAGUAGCAAAAGGUGUAAAACCCUUUCCGUAGUCUUAAUAUCCUCCAACAACGUUUGAAUUUUUUCAAAACUGCAAGAUCCCCCCUGGGAUGAACAUCCUCCCAGAGCUUAUGCUGGGGGUUCUAUUAACUUUUGCCAAAAAGAAGUGCACACUUCCCGUAGUUAAAACGAUAUAAAAAAGAAGAAAUGAAAACCGAAUCAAACUCUUUCUAUAAUUUUUAUUUUCUCAAUUUAAGAUCAUGUCUUAUUUUUUAAGUGCAAGUAUAUGAAAAAAAAAAUCGAUUUACAUUUAUUAUAAUAAAAGCAUAAAAUCUUAUGACCACCCUUCCGAAAUAGAACCAUCGAACGGUAAAUGGGUGCCAUAAA